UUAGAGAGGAAAAAGGAGAGGAAAAUUCUUCAUCUUCUUCCUUGAGUUCAAGAAGCUUCAUAGCCAAUUUCUUCACAAGAUCAUCAUCUAUUCGGGAUUUUGGUGAAAGAAUUGAGUAAAGGAGAGGAUUUAGCUAUUGAUGUUUAAAGGGUUUGAAGGAAAAUCUAGCCUCUCAAGUUUCUUAUCAAGUGGCUAGAAUCCCAUUAAGUGUUGAUGAGAGUUUUGGUCUUCAAGGGUGAACAUGAAUAGGAUGGAAGUGAGGUUGAGAUUAGUCCAUUUGAGGAGUAGGCAUUUGGAGGAUUUUAUUAUUUGGAGGAAAUUUUGGUUGUAUAAUUACUUCCUUGUAUUAAGUUGGACUUUGGAUGAAUUUUGAUGUUGUAAGUUUAGCCUGUGCACUUAGAGUGGAGUUUGUCAAAGAGGUGAUAGAAUUCACUCUAGGUGUGGCGGUAACACCCAUUUUCUGCUGGUUAGAUGUGUAAGCUUCCGCAAUAUAUUAUUGGGAUUUUGUAUCAAAUUUAAGAUGUGAAAAUCGGGGUUUUACAAU